rnacentral:miRNA from 1 species
UACAUAGACCAGUUCGGACGG